rnacentral:rRNA from 1 species
UACGUAGGGUGCGAGCGUUAAUCGGAAUUACUGGGAGUAAAGCGUGCGCAGGCGGUUUUGUAAGUCAGAUGGGAAAUCCCCGGGCUUAACCUGGGAACUGCGUUUGAAACUACAAGGCUAGAGUGUGGCAGAGGGGGGUGGAAUUCCACGUGUAGCAGUGAAAUGCGUAGAGAUGUGGAGGAACACCGAUGGCGAAGGCAGCCCCCUGGGUUAACACUGACGCUCAGGCACGAGAGCGUGGGGAGCAAACAGG